UACGAAGGGGGCUAGCGUUGUUCGGAUUUACUGGGCGUAAAGCGCGUGUAGGCGGGCUGGAAAGUUGGGGGUGAAAUCCCGAGGCUCAACCUCGGAACUGCCUCCAAAACUUCCAGCCUGGAGUAAGAUAGAGGCAAGUGGAAUUGCGAGUGUAGAGGUGAAAUUCGUAGAUAUUCGCAGGAACACCAGUGGCGAAGGCGACUUGCUGGAUCUUUGCUGACGCUGAGACGCGAAAGCGUGGGGAGCAAACAGG
rnacentral:rRNA from 1 species